AGUGUCGCAGUGGGAGAGACCGCUGCCGACCGGAACGGGAAGGCAUGUUCACCCCGUCGCCUGUGUAAACGACAGGCUCUCUGGAGGUGCGCCUUGCAGGUCGCCCUGGUCCCUUCCCUUUCCGUCGGUACGGCGCCGAAGGGGCAGCUUCCCCGCAAACUCUCAGGCAAACGGACCGCCGCGACGCA
rnacentral:ncRNA from 2 species